rnacentral:rRNA from 1 species
AAAUUGAAGAGUUUGAUCAUGGCUCAGAUUGAACGCUGGCGGCAGGCCUAACACAUGCAAGUCGAGCGGCAGCGGAAAGUAGCUUGCUACUUUGCCGGCGAGCGGCGGACGGGUGAGUAAUGUCUGGGAAACUGCCUGAUGGAGGG